AACCGGAUUCCGUGCGACGUGUAUCUUGUGAACUCCCCCAGGGCAGGAAUGCAGCAAGGGUCAGCGAGCUCUGACGGGUGUGCGGAAUCCUUUUUCU
rnacentral:SRP_RNA from 1 species